rnacentral:rRNA from 1 species
UCCUGGCUUAGGACGAACGCUGGCGGCGUGCUUAACACAUGCAAGUUGAACGGUAUGACAUGGAAGCUUGCUGAAGUGUCAUAUAGUAGCGGACGGGUGAGUAAUGCAUGAGAAGCUGCCAUUGGGAGGGGGACAACAGUUGGAAACGGCUGCUAAUACCCCGUAUGCCGGAGGGUGAAAGGGAGUAAUCCGCCCGAUGAGGUGCUCAUGUCCUAUCAGCUGGUUGGUGGGGUAGCGGCCUACCAAGGCGACGACGGGUAGCCGGCCUGAGAGGGUGAACGGCCACACUGGAACUGAGAUACGGUCCAGACUCCUACGGGAGGCAGCAGUGGGGAAUAUUGGGCAAAUGGGGGGCAACCCUGACCCAGCGACGCCGCGUGGGGGAAGACGGCCUUCGGGUUGUAAACCUCUUUUGUACGGGAAGAAGGAAGUGACGGUACUGUACGAAUAAGUCCCGGCUAACUACGUGCCAGCAGCUGC